rnacentral:rRNA from 1 species
AGCAGCCGCGGUAAUUCCAGCUCCAAUAGCGUAUAUUAAAGUUGUUGCAGUUAAAAAGCUCGUAGUUGAAUUUCGGGAUCAAGUCGUCGGUCGUGCUCAGGUACGUACUGGCGUCAUUGAUUUCUCCCUUCUGACGAACCAUGAUGUCAUUAAUUUGGUGUUAUGGGAAAUCAGUACUGUUACUUUGAAAAAAUUAGAGUGUUUAAAGCAGGCUCACGCUUGAAUACAUUAGCAUGGAAUAAUGAAAUAGGACGUUCGAUCCUAUUUUGUUGGUUUUAGGAUCAACGUAAUGAUUAAUAGGGAUAGUUGGGGGCAUUAGUAUUCAAUUGUCAGAGGUGAAAUUCUUGGAUUUAUUGAAGACUAACUACUGCGAAAGCAUUUGCCAAGGAUGUUUUCAUUAAUCAAGAACGAAAGUUAGGGGAUCGAAGACGAUCAGAUACCGUCGUAGUCUUAACCAUAAACUAUGCCGACUAGGGAUCGGAUGAUGUUAAUUUUUUAAUGACUCAUUCGGCGCCUUACG